GACGAACGCUGGCGGCGUGCUUAACACAUGCAAGUCGAACGGAAAGGCCCUGCUUUUGUGGGGUGCUCGAGUGGCGAACGUGUGUGUAACACGUGAGUAACCCGCCCUUGACUUUGGGAUAACUUCAGGAAACUGGGGCUAAUACCGGAUAGGAGCUCCUGCUGCAUGGUGGGGGUGGGAAAGUUUCGGCGGUUGGGGAUGGACUCGCGGCUUAUCAGCUUGUUGGUGGGGUAGUGGCUUACCAAGGCCGUGACGGGUAGCCGGCCUGAGAGGGUGACCGGCCACAUUGGGACUGAGAUACGGCCCAGACUCCUACGGGAGGCAGCAGUGGGGAAUAUUGCACAAUGGGCGGAAGCCUGAUGCAGCAACGCCGCGUGCGGGAUGACGGCCUUCGGGUUGUAAACCGCUUUCGCCUGUGACGAAGCGUGAGUGACGGUAAUGGGUAAAGAAGCACCGGCUAACUACGUG
rnacentral:rRNA from 1 species